GUAACAAGGUCUCCGUUGGGAAACCAGCGGAGGGAUCAUUA
rnacentral:rRNA from 1 species